UCAGGCAAACAGGAAUCCAGGGUCCAGAAGGGAGUUCAGAGAGGAGCUCAGGCAGAAAAAUGAUCAAGGGGUAACACUGGAAAGCUAGGAACAAAACACACUAGCCGAUCUGGCAGAGAACAGAGGAAAUGAGCCAGUAUAUAUACUGGGUGACUAAUGACCGAUGGAAAGCAGGUGGUGGGGAAUGAAUAGAGACAUUUUAGUUUGUCAGCUCUCCAGUGGAUAUGCUGACCAACAGAACAGUAACAUCUGUUUAUCUCCUUCCCAGAGGAACAACAGAUAAUAAUAAUAAGAAGAAGAAGAAGAAGAAGAAGAAGAAGAAAUGACAUUCGACACAUAAUUCUUCCUAAUAUGUCUAUGUAUCUAGAAGGGGAUUAUUUACUUUUAAGAUUAAGACUUAAACCUAAUAAUGACAAAGGCUAAGAAAUAACCUUUGCGACAGUUAUUUAAUUAACAAUGCUGAUUUUAUUUCUGCAUUAAGCUUGAAUACCAAAAAGUGUACAAAAUAAAAAAAAAAUCUAAAGCAGAUCACAGAACUGAACCAUGGUUGUUACACAGCACUGCAGGAAAGAGGAUGAGGGCAAUAGAUCACGUCUGUAUGACAACCUCAUGGUCUGUGUUUGUGUGUUUGUGAGAAAGAGAGAGGGGGGGAGAAUGAAUUGAAAAACCGGACAUGUAAUUGAAAUAAAUGGCUGCUCUCGACAGGUGAGGCCUCGUGUGUAUGUCCAGAUAUAAAGUAUGUGUGUGAAAGGCACCACUGACAAAAUGAAGACAGAGCAUUUACCAUCUCUGUUGGCCCCACCUUUGGCCGAGAAAUGGAAUUUCACAAACCCGCCCACUGAUGUGUUGCCCCUCGGCACGUAUGAAGUAAUCAGUCAUGCAGCCAGUGAUCACAGCAAUUUAUGAAAAGGGAUGUCCACAUGUUUACAGUAACUGUCUUUACAGAGCUGAAUUUCUCACACACUUUCUUUACGUGUAUAUUUAUAAGUGUGAAAGUCCAACAUCAUCCACAGUGUUAGAAAGGUUCUCAGUAGUUUAAACAGCUGGCCAGUAUUUACUCAAACAUCUGUUUUUCUGUUGCCAUGGGAUGAAGAAACUCAACCAGUGAACAUAUGGCUAUGCAUUCAUCGCUGAAGACGCGAUAACUGAAACACUAAAAAAAUACUAAUUAUGCAUUUGGAAGCGGGCAAAUUAUAUAAAUCCUUGGUUCAGUGCGCAGUAUUAGAAACUUGUCAAGGAUACGGUUGGAACUGUAAUUUUACAGACGCACUUUUUGUUAAAUCCAAAAGUCAAGGAUAAAUAUAAAAACACAUAACUUAGUAUUAUUUGUCAGACUUUUCUGUUGGGUGUCGCUAGUGAGACAGUUGGAGGAUUUUCUUUCUCUCCAGGGAAAGAGGGCACUAAAUACACACCGACACACAUGGACACACACUCUCCCUCACCGAAAUGUCUUCCCUAUGGCCUGUUGUGUGUGUGAUUUGAUGUUCCAUAGAAGAUAAAAUGGGCUCCUUGGGGUAGAAACAGCUUUACUUAAUUUCUCUCUGUCCCUCCUUGCAAUCUGAGAAUGUGUGUGUGUGUAGAUGUCGGAGCUAUGGACGAGAUCCAUCGGCUGGAAAUCAGCUCAGUCUUUCACCUGUUUUUUUUUUUUUUUCUGUCUAAUCCACCACAUCUCUCCUUAUUUCCUCAUUCUGUUUUCUUUCAUCACAUCCUCCUUCCUACUUCAUCAUGUUGUCAUCCCCUCUCCCUCCAUAUGUAUUCGUCAUCCACCCAUUUCUUCUUCAGCGCUCGGUAAUCCCGUUUUCUCCUCUUCCCCUGACCCUCGUCUUCUUCUUCAUUCCCUCCAUUUGUCUCUUUCUAUCACCGCAACUUUUCACUCGGGUUUGCCCUUCUUACUCUGGUUCCCUUGCACGCCCUCCGAUUAUCUUCAUAUAUUCUCUCAUCCCUCAUCUUUCCUCUCUUUAUCCUCCUGCUUCUCCAUCUU